rnacentral:rRNA from 1 species
GGGUCAGUGGGUUGGUCGUGCCUCCGGUACGUACUGGUCUCACUGAUUCCUCCUUCCUGAAGAACCGUAAUGCCAUUAAUUUGGUGUUGCGGGGAAACAGGACUGUUACUUUGAAAAAAUUAGAGUGUUUAAAGCAAGCUAACGCUUGAAUACAUUAGCAUGGAAUAAUGAAAUAGGACGAUCGAUCCUAUUUUGUUGGUUUCUAGGAUUGACGUA